UCGCCUGUUUAUCAAAAACAUUUUUUUAAGGUAUUAAAUUAAAAUAAGCCCUGCUCUAUGAUGAUAUUAUUUAUUAAAUAGCCGCAGUAUACUGACUGUGCAAAGGUAGCAUAAUCAUUUGGUUCUUAAUUGGAAUCUAGUAUGAAGGGGUUAACGAAAAUUAGCUGUCUUAAAAAAAUAUUUUGAAUUUUAAUUUUUUGUAAUAAUGCAGAAAUUUAUUUAAGGGACGAUAAGACCCUAUAAAGCUUUAUUUUAAAUAAAAUUUAAUUUUAUACAUAUUAUUUUUUAUUAGAAAUUUUACUGGGGUGGUAUAUUAAAAUUUAAACUAAUAUAUUUAAAAUUUUUGAUCCAAUUGUAUUGAUAAUAAGAUUAAGUUACUUUAGGGAUAACAGCAUAAUCCAUUUAGGGAGUUCAAAUCGAAAAAUGGGAUUAUGACCUCGAUGUUGAAUUAAAAUUUCUUUAAGGUGCAGGAGCUUUAAUAGAUAGUCUGUUCGACUAAUAAUAUUUUACAUGAUCUGAGUUCAAACCGGAGA
rnacentral:rRNA from 1 species